rnacentral:SRP_RNA from 1 species
UUAUGGCUGCGGGCGACGGAACGUUGAUGAACCCCGCCAGGCCGGGAACGGAGCAACGGUAGUCGACCGACCGGGUGUCCGCAGCCACCUCUU